AUCAAAUAUAUAUAUAUGGAAGAAGAUCAUUGAAGAACAAUUUGCAAAAAUGUUUAGUGAAUGGAAUAAUGUAUUCACUGAAUUCUUACGUAGUGGAUUGAAUAACUGUACACAAGCUGAAACAGAAGAAAAUUUUAAUUUAAAAUAACAGGAAAAGACGUGUUUAUUUUAUUAUUUAAUCUGCAAAUAUAAACAAAUUCUUUAGAACACCACAAAUGGUAUGACAUUCAAUUGGUUUGCUUAUAAUGUAUUGGAUUGAAACAAUUACAAAGAAAACAGAAUCCUUUGCUACAAUUUUUUUUUAUAAAUCAAAGUUAAAGUUAUAUAAAAAGUAUGAACAAUACCUGUCAUACCUAGACCUAAACAGUCA
rnacentral:lncRNA from 1 species